AACGAACGCUGGCGGCGUGGAUAAGACAUGCAAGUCGAACGCUGAUUACGGGGUAGCAAUAUUCCGUGGUUGGAGUGGCGCAAGGGUGCGUAACACGUGGGUAAUUUGCCGCGAAGCUUGGGAUAACUCGCUGAAAGGCGAGCUAAUACCGAAUGUGAUGUUUGGAUGGCAUCUUCCGAAUUUCAAAGCUGGGGACCGAAAGGCCUGGCGCUUCGCGAUAAGCCCGCGGCCAUCAGCUAGUUGGUGAGGUAAACGGCUCACCAAAGGCUAANACGGGUAGCUGGUCUGAGAGGACGACCAGCCUCACUGGAACUGAGAUACGGUCCAGACACCUACGGGUGGCAGCAGUCGAG
rnacentral:rRNA from 1 species